UUUAAAGAGAGUUUGAUCCUGGCUCAGGACGAACGCUGGCGGCGUGCCUAAUACAUGCAAGUCGAACGAACGGAGGAAGAGCUUGCUCUUCCAAAGUUAGUGGCGGACGGGUGAGUAACACGUGGGCAACCUGCCUGUAAGUUGGGGAUAACUCCGGGAAACCGGGGCUAAUACCGAAUGAUAGAAUGUGGCGCAUGCCACGCUUUUGAAAGAUGGUUUCGGCUAUCGCUUACAGAUGGGCCCGCGGUGCAUUAGCUAGUUGGUAGGGUAAUGGCCUACCAAGGCAACGAUGCAUAGCCGACCUGAGAGGGUGA
rnacentral:rRNA from 1 species